UACAUGGGGUGCAAACGUUGCUCGGAAUUAUUGGGCGUAAAGCGCGCGUAGGCGGUUACUUAAGUCGGAUGUGAAAGCCCUCGGCUUAACUGAGGAAGUGCACCCGAAACUGAGUAGCUAGAGUACUAAAGAGGGUCGCGGAAUUCCCGGUGUAGAGGUGAAAUUCGUAGAUAUCGGGAGGAACACCGGUGGCGAAGGCGGCGACCUGGGUAGAGACUGACGCUGAGACGCGAAAGCGUGGGGAGCGAACCGG
rnacentral:rRNA from 1 species